CAGAAAGAAGAUAGCCUAAUGAUAGCUGAAGCGAGACAACAUUAUUAUUUAGACAUUAAUAAGAAGAGAAAGUUGUAUGCACAAGGACCAGUCCUAGAGAAAGAUACUCAAGAUAAAGAUAGUACUUAGACUAUGAACCUUGAGGCUUGGAGUAUCUCUUUCAAAGAAUUUCAACCCAGUCGAAAUAGACAAGCCAAGAAGACAACUAGUGAAGCAAGUUAAGAGAAGAUGAAGUUACCACAACCAUUGGAAGAUAACAAUACUCAACCCAGUUCCC
rnacentral:lncRNA from 1 species